GACGAACGCUGGCGGCGUGCUUAACACAUGCAAGUCGAACGGAAAGGCCCUGCUUUUGUGGGGUGCUCGAGUGGCGAACGGGUGUGUAACACGUGAGUAAACUGCCCUUGACUUUGGGAUAAAUUCAGGAAACAGGGGUGAUAACCGGACAGAACAUCCUGCUGCAUGAGGGGGGAGGGAAAGUUAUGGCGGUUGGGGAUGGACGCGAGGUCCAGCAGCAUGUUGGGGAGGUGGUGUCUUACCAAGGCUUGGAGGGGUAGCCGGCCUGAGAGGGUGAGAGGCCACAUUGGGACUGGGAUGGGGCCCAGACUGCUACGUGGGGCAGCAGUGGGGAAUAUGGCACGAUGGGCGGAAGCCUGAUGGAGCAACGCCGCGUGGGGGAUGACGGCCUUCAGGUUGUAAACCGCGUUCGCGUGUGACGAAGCGUGAGUGACGGUAAUGGGUAAAGAAGCACCGGCUAACUACGUG
rnacentral:rRNA from 1 species